rnacentral:rRNA from 1 species
UACAGAGGGUGCAAGCGUUGUUCGGAAUUAUUGGGCGUAAAGCGCGUGUAGGCGGCUUUGCAAGUCGGGUGUGAAAGCCCUCAGCUCAACUGAGGAAGGGCGCCCGAAACUGCAGAGCUUGAGUGCCGGAGAGGGUGGCGGAAUUCCCCAAGUAGAGGUGAAAUUCGUAGAUAUGGGGAGGAACACCGGUGGCGAAGGCGACUACCUGGCCUGUUCUUGACGCUGAGGCGCGAAAGCUAGGGGAGCAAACGGG